AUUUCUAGAGAUAGAAAGUUACUUCGGUACAUCGGUGACAGGUGGUGCAUGGUUGUCGUCAGCUCGUGUCGUGAGAUGUGGGUUAAGUCCCGCAACGAGCGCAACCCCUAUUGUUAGUUGCCAUCAUUCAGUUGGGCACUCUAGCGAGACUGCCGGUAAUAAACCGGAGGAAGUGGGGAUGACGUCAAAUCAUCAUGCCCCUUAUGACCUGGGCUACACACGUGCUACAAUGGUUGGUACAACGAGUUGCGAGUCGGUGACGGCGAGCUAAUCUCUUAAAGCCAAUCUCAGUUCGGAUUGUAGGCUGCAACUCGCCUACAUGAAGUCGGAAUCGCUAGUAAUCGCGGAUCAGCACGCCGCGGUGAAUACGUUCCCGGGCCUU
rnacentral:rRNA from 1 species